UACGUAGGGUGCGAGCGUUGUCCGGAAUUAUUGGGCGUAAAGAGCUUGUAGGCGGUUUGUCGCGUCUGACUGUGAAAUCCGGGCUCAACCCCGGACUUGCAGUGGGUACGGGCAGACUAGAGUGUGGUAGGGGAGACUGGAAUUCCUGGUGUAGCGGUGGAAUGCGCAGAUAUCAGGAGGAACACCGAUGGCGAAGGCGGCUCUCGUGGGACGGUACUGACGCUGAGACGACGAAAGCGUGGGGAGCGAACAGG
rnacentral:rRNA from 1 species